CCCACAGCAGUAGUAUAUUUAUUGUGCUGAAAUCAGGUAGCAGGGAAUGAAUAGCUCUAGGGAACCAGUACAGAAUGUUCACAAGAUUUACAUUCUGAAAUAGUCUGCACAAACAGCAUUACAUCCUGCACAUGCAGUUUUGAUAUCUUAAAGAUACUUAGAAAUACUCAUGCCUUUUUAUUUUUUGGUCACAAGAUCUCUGUGCAAUACCCACUAGCAAUUUAACCUAUGUAAUAAGACAUAGUACAUGUUCUUUCCCAGUCAAUUUCCAGUUGUGUUUUUACAUUACAUGAAAUACUUCAUUGGUAAAGAGCAAAUUUAAUUUUCUGGUUCUGACUACUCUCACUUUUACUCACUUUAUGUCUUAGCAAUUAACACCUUGUAAUAAUCAAGCAUUGAAUUUAAUGAUCUUUAGCACCAAGGAGUCAAGAAUAUCGCACCAAAACGGGUUUACACUUCGUAUCUAGUUACAAAUAAGAUCUUGCAACUCUGACACAGAGAAAUAUCACUCCAAAAUUAAACACAUUGAAAGAGAAGGAUAAUUUCACAAAAAAGCUUGCUGUACGCUAUUUGU
rnacentral:lncRNA from 1 species